rnacentral:lncRNA from 1 species
CUUGAAUGCGAUUUAUGACGAUAAAAAACGAAUGGCACCUACAAAAAUCUACAAUACAAUUAGAAAAUGUACAUCACACCAUAUUCUAGACAAAAUAAAUAAUGUUCACAAAAAUUUUCAUUCAUCUUCAUUCAUACUGAUGAAUUCUUUUGUGCCAUACUCGAAGAGAUCACCCGUAAUCGUUAUAUUGAGUACAACAUCAUCUCCAAUGCCUUAUACAUGCAUAUUAAGAAGAUUGCAAAAUUUGAUGUUCUACGAGUUUGCAUGUACAUCUUACUUUGUUCCUAGAUGGGUCGCAAUUGACUCACUUUUAGGUUUGAUUUGUUUGGAUCUCACUAUGGAUUUUUUGGUACAUAAAUUCUCUAUUACCCAUUUUAU